rnacentral:misc_RNA from 1 species
GAUGAAGAACGUAGCGAAAUGCGAUAAGUAGUGUGAAUUGCAGAAUUCAGUGAAUCAUCGAAUCUUUGAACGCACAUUGCGCCCCUCGGUAUUCCGUGGGGCACGCCUGUUCGAGCGUCAUUUACACCCUCAAGCGCAGCUUGGUGUUGGGCGUCUGUCCCGCUCUCCGUAGCGCGGACUCGCCUCAAAGUCAUUGGCGGCGGUCGUGCCGGCUCCUCGCGCAGCACAUUUGCGCUUCUCGGAGGCCCGGCGGAUCGGCAUCCAGCAAGCUACUUUUUAUGACUUGACCUCGGAUCAGGUGAGGAUACCCGCUGAACUUAAGCAUAUCAAUAAGCGGAGGA